rnacentral:lncRNA from 1 species
CCUCAAAUAAUACAUUCCUAUGGCAGAAACUAAGGAAGAUCAAAGAGAAAUCCAUUACAGCAGAGUGACGAGGUCAUUCCUGAUGCACAACCCAGUGGAGGUGAGAAUUCUCAUCACCGGCAAAGCACUAUGAAUCCAUUGUAAGAGAUGACCUCCUGCAGGCUAAUGCAAAAUCAGGUCUUUGACAAGGAUGGCAGGGCCCUUGGAUGGAUAGAAUAUCCCCCACAGGUGGGAAGGGGAAAAUCCUCAAGCCAAAGGAAGAUACCAGAUGAAGGGAAAGGGACGCCAGGCAAGAACACAACAAUAGACAUUCACUGCACAAGGAUUUUGAUAAUGAAGACACCAAAGAAAUAACGAAUUGGAGUUAAUUCGUUGCAGAAAGUAUAAAGUAGGAGAAAGAGAAGGAGGUGUCUGAAGACUGAGAUUCUGGUGCUGAUUCCACUGUUAAAUUUGAGAGCAAAAUUUUUGCCCCUUCUGGGUCUCUGUUGUUUUUUCUUAUAAAUGGUGACUCUGGUUGAACUAAUCUUUAAGAGCAUUUUUUAAAAAAAGAAAAAUAAUAUGCAUAUAAUUAAUUCUUGCUUUAUGAAAGUAUCUCUGACAUGGGCACAAAAAAAUGGAGAAGCCUCUGCCUCCUCCUCUGUUCCCAUCUUCUGUUCAUACU